rnacentral:rRNA from 1 species
GGGUCUCUUCGGAGGCCAGCGGCGGACGGGUGAGGAACACGUGGGUAAUCUGCCUUUCAGGCCGGAAUAACGCCCGGAAACGGGCGCUAAUGCCGGAUACGCCCGCGAGGAGGCAUCUUCUUGCGGGGGAAGGCCCAAUUGGGCCGCUGAGAGAGGAGCCCGCGGCGCAUUAGCUAGUUGGCGGGGUAACGGCCCACCAAGGCGACGAUGCGUAGCCGACCUGAGAGGGUGACCGGCCACACUGGGACUGAGACACGGCCCAGACUCCUACGGGAGGCAGCAGUAGGGAAUCUUCCGCAAUGGGCGCAAGCCUGACGGAGCAACGCCGCGUGAGCGAAGAAGGCCUUCGGGUUGUAAAGCUCUGUUGCUCGGGGAGAGCGGCAUGGGGGAUGGAAAGCCCCAUGCGAGACGGUACCGAGUGAGGAAGCCCCGGCUAACUACGUGCCAGCAGCCGCGGUAAAACGUAGGGGGCGAGCGUUGUCCGGAAUCACUGGGCGUAAAGGGUGCGUAGGCGGUCGAGCAAGUCUGGAGUGAAAGUCCAUGGCUCAACCAUGGGAUGGCUUUGGAAACUGCUUGACUUGAGUGCUGGAGAGGCAAGGGGAAUUCCACGUGUAGCGGUGAAAUGCGUAGAGAUGUGGAGGAAUACCAGUGGCGAAGGCGCCUUGCUGGACAGUGACUGACGCUGAGGCACG